AUUACUCAGAUUAUGUAGUCACAAUUAGGGACAAUGAGGCAGAUGCUUUAACAUUCUAUGUUGCAUAGAAUUUGCAUAUUACUUUGUCCUUUACAGUGUUACAUCAUCUCAGUGCCCCACCCAUUUACACACAGAUGUAACUACACAAUGCUGGGGAACAACUGGGAAACAGACUGGCCCUUUUAAAACUACAAAUCUUGAUACAGAGUUAGGGACCAUUUCAAAGAAUGGCUUUAUCACAACAGCAGUCUUUAUUUUUGAGUAACCAGAAAAAUAUAAGUAUUGUAUGAGAUUGGAUAUUUUCAUUUCAUGUGACAUUAUGCCAUCAGUAUCACAUCUUUGAAUGUCAAGGACAAAGUUACAGUGUAUCACCCAUGUCCUACCGAGGCUCUGAGUCAUGUGGAAGAUGCUGAAUCACCCCGCUGCAGACAGGCAGGUCUGCCCACACCCUACCGAGGUCCCCAGUCUUGUGGAAGAUGCCGAAUCAGCCCGCUGAGGACAGGCAGGUCUGUGCAUGCCCUACCGAGGUCCCGAGUCACACAGAAGAUGCCGAAUCACCCCGGUGCAGACAGGCAGCCACCUGGUUCCACACUACAAAGAUGUAGAGGACACCAGACCACCAGACCAAGUCCAGCGAAGAAGCAUUUGAUUGUCCCAACGUUUGACCAUGUCCAUUCAGCAAUGACAAGAUGGAAAAUAUGAAGAAUGAGUGUUAGACCUUAAAGAAGCAGGGUGAAGAGAAAACCUCAGCAGAGAAUAACAUCAAUCCAGCUGCUCCUUGGCCUGGCUGAAUGAUCAUGGCCUAUCCAAAAUCAUGAAGAACUGCAGGGUUUCAAAUGCGCAAAACUAAGCACUAAACUGAGAUUUGGAAGACCAGAGCAUUGCCUCACUUGUUAGCUGUGAACCACCUGGCAUGUUCCUUUAAAAUCAUGGGCUUAUUUUCCCAGAAAAUGGAGAUAAUAUCCCUCCAUCUCAGGAAACAAGGAUAAAAUUAUUUCAGUGAAAAGUGCUUUAUAAGCUUAUAAUAUACUGAAGAAAGAUGUUUAUAUCGUUUUCUACACUCUCAGCCCUGGUAUUGAGUACCAUUUUUCCUCUUAUUAAACUUCCUCCUUUUU
rnacentral:lncRNA from 1 species